CGGAGGGUGCAAGCGUUAUCCGGAUUUAUUGGGUUUAAAGGGUCCGUAGGCGGACUGAUCAGUCAGUGGUGAAAUCCUAUCGCUUAACGAUAGAACUGCCAUUGAUACUGUUAGUCUUGAAUUAGUUUGAAGUGGCUGGAAUGUGUAGUGUAGCGGUGAAAUGCUUAGAUAUUACGCAGAACACCAAUUGCGAAGGCAGGUCACUAAGUCUAUAUUGACGCUGAUGGACGAAAGCGUGGGAGCGAACAGGAUU
rnacentral:rRNA from 1 species